GAAUAUAUAGGCCGAAGAAUUAGGUCAAGGGAGUCACGAGGGCCCCACAAGGUAGGGGGCGCGCCCUCCCCCCUUGUGGCCGCCUCGUGGCUCUUCCCACUUGAUCUCCAAGUCUCUGGGUUGUCUUUUGGUCCAAGAAAAAUCAUCG
rfam:Triticum aestivum genome assembly, contig: Triticum_aestivum_CS42_TGACv1_scaffold_177485_2DS